CCUGAUCCCUUCCCGAACUCAGAAGUGAAACCUCUUAGCGCUGAUGGUAGUGUGGGGUUACCCAUGUGAGAGUAAGUCAUCGCCAGCU
rnacentral:rRNA from 3 species